rnacentral:rRNA from 1 species
CCUACGGGGGGCAGCAGUGGGGGAUAUUGCACAAUGGGGGGAACCCUGAUGCAGCGAAGCCGCGUGGGUGAAGAAGGGCCUCGGCGCGUAAAGCCCUGUCAGCAGGGAAGAAAAUGACGGUACCUGAAGAAGAAGCCACGGCUAACUACGGGCCAGCAGCCGCGGGAAUACGUAGGGGGCAAGCGGUAUCCGGAUUGACUGGGGGGAAAGGGGGCGGAGCCGGGGAUGCAAGCCAGGAGGGAAGGCCCGGGGCCCAACCCCGGGACUGCUCUUGAAACUGGGGGUCUGGAGUGCAGGAGGGGCAGGCGGAAUUCCUGGUGUAGCGGUGAAAUGCGUAGAUAUCAGGAGGAACACCGGUGGCGAAGGCAGCCUGCUGGACUGCAACUGACGUUGAGGCCCGAAAGCGUGGGGAGCAAACAGGAUUAGAUACCCGAGUAGUC